rnacentral:rRNA from 1 species
GUCCACGCUGUAAACGAUGAUUACUCGAUGUUGGCGAUACACAGUCAGCGUCUGAGCGAAAGCAAUAAGUAAUCCACCUGGGGAGUACGAUCGCAAGAUUGAAACUCAAAGGAAUUGACGGGGGCCCGCACAAGCGGAGGAGCAUGUGGUUUAAUUCGAUGAUACGCGAGGAACCUUACCUGGGCUAGAACGUAGAAUGACUAUAGGAGAAAUCUUAUAUCCCUUCGGGGCAGUCUACGAGGUGCUGCAUGGUUGUCGU